AUUUCGUCAACCUCCACUUCUUUUCCGAGUAUGGAGAAGUCAAAAAGGCAAAGAGUGGAAAUCCACAGAGAAGUCAAGGGAAGAGGAUUAGUAAACUUCUAAUUAACCAAGCACAAUUGCUUUGCCAGGAACAUCAGCAAAGGGGACCAAAUGAAAAGGUGACAAAGUGCUCUGCCCAAAGAGGAAGGCAGAGUUCAGUGACAACAACCUAAAACCUCAGAAGAAGAUAUCAAUCCCUCCAUUACCCUCUAAACUGCUACCCAUUAACCUGAUUCGCCAGGACAUUCUGUGUGCCUGGUGCCAACAAUUAAAGCUGAGCACCAAAGGCCAGAAAUUAGAUGCACAUAAGCACCCGUGUGCCUUCACCUACCCAAAAUAAAAGGACAUUCGUAGCACAGCAAAAGAGGCCAGAAUUCAGAAAUCAUUACAAAAAAAAAAAAUCAAAGGUGGACAAGGGGUAAACGUCCCUGAAAAGUUCUGAGGAGACAUCCUCCUGAGAUGGCUCUUCCCUCUUGGGGGGGUGCUGCCUGCCUUGGAAGAGUCUGCUGCUCUCCUUGAAGGAGUUAAUACAGCUGUAAGAAAACUUCUACCCCAGGUGCUUUGCUGGCCUCCAGGGCCAGAACUGCAGCCAGGGUGGGACACCAGAGGCAGAGGAAUCUCCACAAGAGAAGACCAUGGGAGAAGUCUCCCUGCAGAUACAGAUGGUUGGGUUCACCUCCAGUUUCAUGCUAGACAAGCCUGGGCUCCAGAAAUGCAAGAAGGGAGAGUGAGUGCACUCUUCUUGCUUCCCGCCUCCCAAUUUCCCACCCCUGCACCUUGAAGACAGUAAGUUGUGCCCCAAAUGUGUUCACAGGUACAAGGUCUUAAUAAAAAGCAUCCAGUG
rnacentral:lncRNA from 1 species